GCCUAUGUGGCUCAGUCGGUUAAGUGUCUGACUUCGGCUCAGGUCAUGAUCUCACGGUUCAUGAGUUUGAACCCCAUUUUGGGCU
rnacentral:tRNA from 1 species